UACGGAGGGUGCAAGCGUUAUCCGGAUUCACUGGGUUUAAAGGGUGCGUAGGUGGGUUGGUAAGUCAGUGGUGAAAUCUCCGGGCUUAACUCGGAGCGGUCAAGUGAUACUGUCGUGCUAGAGUGCGGAAGGGGCUACUGGAAUUCUCGGUGUAGCGGUGAAAUGCGUAGAUAUCGAGAGGAACACCUGCGGCGAAGGCGGGUUGCUGGGCUGAUACUGACGCUGAUGCGCGAAAGCCAGGGGAGCGAACGGG
rnacentral:rRNA from 1 species